rnacentral:misc_RNA from 1 species
UCUCCGUUGGUGAACCAGCGGAGGGAUCAUUACAGAGUUAUCUAACUCCCAAACCCAUGUGAACUUACCAUUUGUUGCCUCGGCAGAGGUUACCUGGUACCUGGAGACAGGUUACCCUGUAGCAGCUGCCGGUGGACUACUAAACUCUUGUUAUUUUAUGUAAUCUGAGCGUCUUAUUUUAAUAAGUCAAAACUUUCAACAACGGAUCUCUUGGUUCUGGCAUCGAUGAAGAACGCAGC